rnacentral:lncRNA from 1 species
GGCACUUGGUCAUGUGACACAGUUCCCACCAAUGAGACGGGAGCAGGCAUUCCGCAGGGCGUUCUGGGAAAGCUCCCAGAAGGGCGGGCGGCUGGCCUCAUGUGGCUCACCCUCUGUCCAUCCUGAAAGGGAACCUGACGCCAGAGGAGCUGCACUGUGACCGCAGAGCAGGCCUCACCGAGGACGCCGAGGGAGGUGGAGGAGGAGGCUGGGCCCACGGGCAUCUUGGAGCUGCUGGGCCUGCACCGGCCCCGCCAGACACCUCAUUGGGUAUAUUCCAGACAAGAAGGUCAACUCCAAGAAAGGAGAUCCAUUAACCAGUGCUAAGCUGCCAGUCGUUAGAGGAGGGAGCUCUAGACGGAGACGAGAAGAGGAUGAAAACUCCCAGUGGGCUGCUCAGGCAAAAACCAGCUUCUCUCCUCUUGGAAUCAACAGUGAGCCACAUCCCAUGAAGGUGGCCGUGUGCCCUUUCUCAAGCAUCAGAGGAUGUAAAAAGGCCAAGGACGAGGGUGUGACGAGGGGAGAAAGAACGCUCACAAUUGCGCAGCCCGAGAACACGACAGAGAAGCUCUUGCGUGGUGGCAGAGGACAGAGAUGUGUGCACACAAGCUGGCCUGCCCCGUUUGCUCCUAUAGCACCAGUAUCCUGCACCUAGUGGGCACCUGAUAGAUAUUAGUUGAAUGAGUAACGGAGAUGCUGAAUGGAUGGUGGCGCUUACUGUUACUCACAGAAUCACAUGAUCGCAAGAUGCCUGCUAUCCCAGACACAUCUAGCUGGUAACCUGUGUUCGUGACUCCUGGCCCCAGAGUGGAAGAUAACCCAAAGGCCAAUUUUCUUUAAUGAUUUGACCAGUAGCUACCCACGUGUCACUCUCUCCGUGGGCACUUAAGCCUCUGCCACCCGUGAGAGACGACAGCUGGACUGGGCAUUCCUUCUUCCCAGAAAGGAGGUGCAGGCCACCCCAGGCCAAUGCCUGCCUCUGCCUGAAAGUCAGAGAAAACAGAGGGCUUUCCGUUCCCACCCUGGCUGCUCAGUCAUCAUAAUUCCCUCUGCGGGCAAGCCUGGGCCUGAAUGG